rfam:Hordeum vulgare subsp. vulgare, WGS project CAJW01000000 data, contig: morex_contig_42429
CUUAUACUCCCUCCAUCUGAAAUUAUUUGUCGUACAAAUGAUAAAAAUGAAUGUAUCUAGAACUAAAAUAUAUCUAGAUACAUCCAUUCCUGUGACAAAUAUUUCCGGAUGGAGGGAGUAUUUA